rnacentral:tRNA from 1 species
UGCAGAGUGGCGCAGAGGAAGCGCGGUGAGCACAUAUUUCACAGGUCCCAGGAUCGAAACCUGGCUUUGCUU